UACAGACUAUACAAGACAAUGCAGACUAUACAAGACAAUACAGACUAUACAAGACAAUACAGACUAUACAAGACAACACAGACAAUGAGAUACAAUAUAUGAAGAUAUGAUGAUGAGGUUCCACUUGAGGUUGAGGAGGAGCUCAAACCUACACUGAAGAAAAGAAUUAAGAAAGUGAGUUUGGGCUGGAAAAAGAAAAUGGCAUCUAAUUUUACGGAGGAGGAUUUCUCCUGUCCUGUGUGCUGUGACAUCUUCAAGGAU